rnacentral:rRNA from 1 species
GGAGGAAAAGAAACUAACAAGGAUUCCCCUAGUAACGGCGAGUGAACCGGGAAGAGCUCAAAUUUGAAAUCUGGCGUGCUCAGUGCGUCCGAGUUGUAAUCUAUAGAGUCGUUUUCCGUGCCGGACUGUGUCCAAGUCCCUUGGAACAGGGUAUCAAAGAGGGUGAUAAUCCCGUACUUGACACAAUGACCGGUGCUCUGUGAUACGUCUUCUACGAGUCGAGUUGUUUGGGAAUGCAGCUCAAAAUGGGUGGUGAGUUCCAUCUAAAGCUAAAUAUUGGCGAGAGACCGAUAGCGAACAAGUACCGUGAGGGAAAGAUGAAAAGCACUUUGGAAAGAGAGUUAAACAGUACGUGAAAUUGUUAAAAGGGAAACGAUUGAAGUCAGUCGUGACUGAGAGGCUCAGCCGGUUCUGCCGGUGUAUUCCCCUCAGUCGGGUCAACAUCAGUUUUGUUCGGUGGAUAAGGGCAGUUGGAAGGUGGCACCCUCGGGUGUGUUAUAGCCAGCUGUCGCAUACAUCGGAUGAGACUGAGGAAUGCAGCUCGCCUUUAUGGCCGGGGUUCGCCCACGUUCGAGCUUAGGAUGUUGACAUAAUGGCUUUAAACGACCCGUC